GGGGCUAUAGCACAGUUGGUAGCGCGUCUCAAUGGCAUUGAGAAGGUCAGGGGUUCGAAUCCCCUUAGCUCCA
rnacentral:tRNA from 2 species